GAUGAACGCUGGCGGCGUGCCUAAUACAUGCAAGUCGAGCGAACAGAUGAGGAGCUUGCUCCUCUGACGUUAGCGGCGGACGGGUGAGUAACACGUGGAUAACCUACCUAUAAGACUGGGAUAACUUCGGGAAACCGGAGCUAAUACCGGAUAAUAUAUUGAACCGCAUGGUUCAAUAGUGAAAGACGGUUUUGCUGUCACUUAUAGAUGGAUCCGCGCCGCAUUAGCUAGUUGGUAAGGUAACGGCUUACCAAGGCAACGAUGCGUAGCCGACCUGAGAGGUGGAGCGCCCAAAUGGGAAAUGAGACACGGCCCAGACCCCUAGGGGAGGAGCAAGGGGGGAUUCUCCCGAAAGGGGGGAAGGCCGGAGGGAGAAACGCCGGGGGGGGAAGAAAGUUUUUCGGAGCAAAAACCUUUUUUAUUGGGAAAAAAAAAAUGUGAAAUAAAAUAUGCGCGUCUUGCGGGUCCCUAAACAAAAACCCACGCCUAACUAGGUC
rnacentral:rRNA from 1 species